UGCUUAUUAUGUGACUGACGGAUUAGGAUGGGAUUAACCAUCAAGGAGCAUAAUAAGGAGAAUUGCCGACCGUCUGGGCAGAUAGU
rnacentral:ncRNA from 2 species